rnacentral:lncRNA from 1 species
GUCGUAAACAAAGCAAAUAAUUAUUUGGUAAAUUUUUACUAAUUUUAACAAUUUAAAUAAGAAUACGAAGAUGAAUAAAGUCAGGCUUAAGAACAGAGGAGUCAGAAAAUGAUAGGUUGAUUUUGAUUACGUCCACACGUCUCAUCAGAAUUUGAGUCUAAAUUUGAGCUUGGAUAUAUGUAACAUGAUUUUAGAUUUUUUUGGUUUUUGAAACCACAAAAAUAAUUAUUUUAAUAAUAGAGAAAUAUAAAUUUCCGAUGAAAAACUCACCAUCGUUGGAAGGACCAAUCGGUGCCGGCGACGGCGCCAUUUCUUGUCCGAAACUGUAUUGGAUUAGUGCCAUCAGCAUAAAUCCAAUAAUGGAGAAACUGAACGAUUUAGCGCUCGACAUUGAAUUCAUCUUCGAUUAAGCAAUAGAUUCGGUACAGGGAACGAAACUUUUAGAACAAUUUUUCAAACCAGUGGUAUGAAUUCUAAGAGAAAAUGAAGGAUUCGGAAUGGAACAGGAAAUGGGGCGCGCAAAUGGUAUAUAUAGCUGAAGAGUCCAACGGCGGCGCGUGAGAAAGGAGAAAUGAAGCUUCCAGGAACGAA